rnacentral:misc_RNA from 1 species
CUUCUUUGCUGGGACAAGAAGUAUGAGAAGGGUGAAAUGGCCAUAUGGCAAAAGAGAGUAAAUGCUAAAUCUUGUCCUGGUAGACGAGAUGAUUCUCAAGUUACUCUUUGCCAAGCUGCGGACCCAAAUGAUGUGUGGUACAAGAAAAUGGAGGGAUGCAUUACUUCAUAUCCUGAUGUUAGUAGUCGAGAUGAAGUUGCUGGUGGGGAAUUGAAGGCAUUUCCAGACAGGCUUUUUUCUGUCCCCCCGACAGUUGCCAGUGGCUUUGUUCCUGGAGUUUCUGUUGAGACAUACCAGGAGUACAACAAUAAUUGGAAAAAGCAUGUAAACUCUUAUAGGAAAAUCAAUAAGCUUAUUGAUUCUGGAAGGUAUCGUAAUAUUAUGGAUAUGAAUGCUGGGUUGG